CAAGUGUGAAGGUAACUGUCCAAGGUACUACAAGGAUGUAUGGAAAGAGGAGCGAGGGCAUCCACAGAGGAAGAAUGUGUUACAGGGGAUAGCAGCAUGACUGGAGGAGCCACAUAACCAACUCUCGACUGGCUCUAAAUACUGAGCUGGCUUCUUCCAGCAGAA